UCAUCCUUAUACGGAAUUACAAAUUAUGAGGCUUAUAAAAUUCUUUACACUACAUGACUACAAUAUAAUUAAACUAACUUUACAAGACGAACUUUCACUGUCACUAAAGGUUCUAUAAAGUCUUCUUUCGACCUUAAACUUGCUCUUGAUUUGGACUAAUCUGCAUUGGGGUGUUAAUUGGAGUGAGUUUCACAAACUUAGUAAGGAAAAGAGCAGUGCCCAUAACAAAGACAUACAAACACUCAAC
rnacentral:lncRNA from 1 species